AAUAAGUACAGUUUUACACUGUUCAUGUCUCACGUUUGACCGUUCAUUUUAUUUGAAAUUUUUUUACGAUUAAUAUUUUUAUUGUUAUUAGAUGAUAAAACAUGAAUAAUACUUUAUGUGUGACUAACUUAUUUUAAUUUCCUCAUAAAUUUUUCAAAUAAGACGAACGGUCAAACGUUGGACACGGAUUUCUACGGCUGCACUUAUU
rfam:Oryza glaberrima chromosome 12 Oglab12_0009_6, whole genome shotgun sequence.